rnacentral:rRNA from 1 species
CCAAUAGCGUAUAUUAAAGUUGUUGCAGUUAAAAAGCUCGUAGUUGAAUUUCGGGAUCAAUACGUCGGUCGUGCUUCGGUACGUACUGGCGUCAUUGAUUUCUCCCUUCUGACGAACCAUGAUGUCAUUAACUUGGUGUCAUGGGAAAUCAGGACUGUUACUUUGAAAAAAUUAGAGUGUUUAAAGCAGGCUCACGCUUGAAUACAUUAGCAUGGAAUAAUGAAAUAGGACGUUCGAACCUAUUUUGUUGGUUUCUAGGAUCAACGUAAUGAUUAAUAGGGAUAGUUGGGGGCAUUAGUAUUCAAUUGUCAGAGGUGAAAUUCUUGGAUUUAUUGAAGACUAACUACUGCGAAAGCAUUUGCCAAGGAUGUUUUCAUUAAUCAAGAACGAAAGUUAGGGGAUCGAAGACGAUCAGAUACCGUCGUAGUCUUAACCAUAAACUAUGCCGACUAGGGAUCGGAUGAUGUUAAUUUUUUAAUGACUCAUUCGGCGCCUUACG